rnacentral:rRNA from 1 species
UACGUAGGGAGCGAGCGUUAUCCGGAUUUAUUGGGUGUAAAGGGUGCGUAGGCGGUUUAACAGGUCUGUGGUCUAAGUCCGAAGCUUAACUUCGGUUCGCCACAGAAACCGUUUUACUUGAGUAUGGUAGAGGCAAGUGGAAUUUCUAGUGUAGCGGUUAAAUGCGUAGAUAUUAGAAGGAACACCAGUGGCGAAGGCGACUUGCUGGGCCAUCACUGACGCUGAGGCACGAAAGCGUGGGGAGCAAAUAGG